rnacentral:rRNA from 1 species
UACGUAGGGUGCAAGCGUUGUCCGGAAUUAUUGGGCGUAAAGAGCUUGUAGGCGGUUUGUCGCGUCUGCUGUGAAAUUUCGGGGCUCAACCCCGAACUUGCAGUGGGUACGGGCAGACUAGAGUGUGGUAGGGGGAGACUGGAAUUCCUGGUGUAGCGGUGAAAUGCGCAGAUAUCAGGAGGAACACCGAUGGCGAAGGCAGGUCUCUGGGCCACUACUGACGCUGAGAAGCGAAAGCGUGGGGAGCGAACAGG